GCUGGCGACCGGCGGCACGGGUGAGUAACACGUAUCCAACCUGCCCUUUACUCGGGGAUAGCCUUUCGAAAGAAAGAUUAAUACCCGAUAGUAUAAUGAUUCCGCAUGGUUUCAUUAUUAAAGGAUUCCGGUAAAGGAUGGGGAUGCGUUCCAUUAGGUUGUUGGUGAGGUAACGGCUCACCAAGCCUUCGAUGGAUAGGGGUUCUGAGAGGAAGGUCCCCCACAUUGGAACUGAGACACGGUCCAAACUCCUACGGGAGGCAGCAUG
rnacentral:rRNA from 1 species